AGGAAUGCAGGCCUGCCAGUCAGAGUCAUCUCCCACCAGAAACCUGCUUUAAUGAGCAUUUUCUUGCUUCUCAGGGCAAUCCUCAUGCUCUCACUGUGCUCUCAGCAAGAACACCUGGGAUUCUUCAGCCUUGCCAUGUGUGGAGAACAGCCCAAAAAUAGGCCUGCUAAGACUUCCAAGAUGGAUUGCUAGACUUUAACUGCACUUAUUUCAAGACUGAAAACUACUUUAAAUUUGGAAUGUUGGAGGUACCUUGGUAAUGUAAAUUUUUGCAUUUCUUUUAUGCUCUCCUGUCUUCUAAGUGUUUUAACUUCCAUCACAAUGAAAUUUCUUCCUUCAA
rnacentral:lncRNA from 1 species